CUUGUGACUUAGUGGCGGACGGGUGAGUAACGCGUGGGUAACCUGCCUCACACAGGGGGAUAACAGUUGGAAACGACCGCUAAUACCGCAUAACCCGCUAGGGCCGCAUGGCCCGGACGGAAAAGAUUUAUCGGUGUGAGAUGGACCCGCGUUGGAUUAGCUAGUUGACAGGGUAACGGCCUACCAAGGCGACGAUCCAUAGCCGGCCUGAGAGGGUGAACGGCCACAUUGGGACUGAGACACGGCCCAA
rnacentral:rRNA from 1 species